rnacentral:tRNA from 1 species
GCGUGAAAAAGAUAACACUUUUGAAAUNNAGCACAACCUUGCCAAGGUUGGGGUCGCGAGUUCGAAUCUCGUUUCCCGCU